UUGUCCUUCUGCCUGAGAAAAUUUAAAUGUCUUGCUUAGAUGUCUUGUCCUAUUAAUAAUGAAGGAUGUAUUAAAAACUAAUCCACUUGGCAUUGCCUUGUUUUGCGAACUUGUGCACCUCUAUUUUUAUCAUUUAAUAGCCCUUUGUGAGCAAUUAACAAUGUGGUAUAGAGGGUCCAUUGCUUAGAAUUAAAAAAUCAGGUAUAGCUAAUCCUUCUUUCUGUCUCUGUGCUGCCAAAUCUGACUGUUCUUUAAUAGGCACUUAUGAUAGGAUUUAGUCUAGAGGCUUCAUGCUUUAUAGUGUGGUUGGCACUAACAUUAUACAUCGUAAUUGAAUAUUUGUUAUUCUUUAACCUGUGCCCUUGGGGCAGUCAUUUAUCAGAUAUCCUCAUUGGGUGUGUCUGUCAUGCAUACCUUUCCUGUCCUCGAAACUCCUCAAAGAAUGGAAGUAGUAGCCCUAAUUGAUUGCCGGUUGGUGGGUCCAAUUCCAAAGAUAAAAGCCCACCUUCCCCUAUUGAUAAUAGUUGUAUCUUGUGAAUUCUUGGAGGGGAACACAUUUAGACAAGCUUGGCUAUUCUUAAUGUUCUGCACGCAGGCUUGCAUUCUUACGCAUAUGUAGGAAUAUUUCACCUUUGGAAAUUGGCAUUUUUUUUUUUUUUUGGUGGAGUUAGAACUUUGAAUUGGUUUUCCUCUAAUCUAACUUCAUGUU